GACGAACGCUGGCGGCGUGCCUAAUACAUGCAAGUCGAACGAACUCUGGUAUUGAUUGGUGCUUGCAUCAUGAUUUACAUUUGAGUGAGUGGCGAACUGGUGAGUAACGCGUGGGAAACCUGCCCAGAAGCGGGGGAUAACACCUGGAAACAGAUGCUAAUACCGCAUAACAACUUGGACCGCAUGGUCCGAGUUUGAAAGAUGGCUUCGGCUAUCACUUUUGGAUGGUCCCGCGGCGUAUUAGCUAGAUGGUGGGGUAACGGCUCACCAUGGCAAUGAUACGUAGCCGACCUGAGAGGGUAAUCGGCCACAUUGGGACUGAGACACGGCCCAAACUCCUACGGGAGGCAGCAGUAGGGAAUCUUCCACAAUGGACGAAAGUCUGAUGGAGCAACGCCGCGUGAGUGAAGAAGGGUUUCGGCUCGUAAAACUCUGUUGUUAAAGAAGAACAUAUCUGAGAGUAACUGUUCAGGUAUUGACGGUAUUUAACCAGAAAGCCACGGCUAACUACGUGCCAGCAGCCGCGGUAAUACGUAGGUGGCAAGCGUUGUCCGGAUUUAUUGGGCGUAAAGCGAGCGCAGGCGGUUUUUUAAGUCUGAUGUGAAAGCCUUCGGCUCAACCGAAGAAGUGCAUCGGAAACUGGGAAACUUGAGUGCAGAAGAGGACAGUGGAACUCCAUGUGUAGCGGUGAAAUGCGUAGAUAUAUGGAAGAACACCAGUGGCGAAGGCGGCUGUCUGGUCUGUAACUGACGCUGAGGCUCGAAAGUAUGGGUAGCAAACAGGAUUAGAUACCCUGGUAGUCCAUACCGUAAACGAUGAAUGCUAAGUGUUGGAGGGUUUCCGCCCUUCAGUGCUGCAGCUAACGCAUUAAGCAUUCCGCCUGGGGAGUACGGCCGCAAGACUGAAACUCAAAGGAAUUGACGGGGGCCCGCACAAGCGGUGGAGCAUGUGGUUUAAUUCGAAGCUACGCGAAGAACCUUACCAGGUCUUGACAUACUAUGCAAAUCUAAGAGAUUAGACGUUCCCUUCGGGGACAUGGAUAC
rnacentral:rRNA from 1 species